CUUGAAAAUAUAAAGAGUCAGGCCUGCCCAGUGAUAUAUUUUAACGGCCGCGGUACUCUGACCGUGCAAAGGUAGCAUAAUCAUUUGCCCUAUAAUUAAGGGCUUGUAUGAAUGGUCCGACAAGAAUGAAACUGUCUCUUUUAGAUUAAUUAAAAUUUGGUUUUUAGGUGAAGAAACCUAAAUAAUAUUGAUAGACAAGAAGACCCUAUCGAGCUUUAAAAAAAUUAGCUAAAAAAAUAGCACACUAAAUCUAGCCAAAAAUUUUAGUUGGGGCGACUAAGGAACACAUAAAACUUCCUCAUUUUAUACCUCUAACCAAUCAGUAAUGAUCCAGAACAUCUGAUUAAUAAAAUUAGUUACCGUAGGGAUAACAGCAUAAUCUUUUUUGAGAGCUCAUAUCGAAAAAAAGGUUUGUGACCUCGAUGUUGGACUAGGAUAUCCAGACAGAUGCAGAAGUCUUCAACGGUUGGUCUGUUCGACCA
rnacentral:rRNA from 1 species